UUGUUUUUCCAUGAUGCUGAGGACUUCUGGAGUAGUCUGCUCUCUGCAAGGCUACAUUCAAAUCUUCUCCUUGUGAAGUCCAGGCUUGUCACAUCUGUUCGACUUAUGUCGCUGAAGAUGACUUGUGCACACAAAGGCACAAUGCUGUGGUGAGCUGCUCUAUCGACUGCAAAUUUCUCAGACACAUCCACAGUGUGAAGUGCAUCUUAAUAGCUGGACUGCCUGAUGGAGAGAUUUCCUUCCAUUCUUAAUUGGGUGAUACCUGUAGCUCUGUCAUCUAUGAUCAUACAGAUUUGCUGCUUCUGUUUGCAGUAUCUCUGGGGAAAGUAUGACAACUUAUAACACUGAAAAGUGACUUUAGGAUGCAUAUUUACAUUGUUUUGUUCUAUAAAUAGUCUGUCAUUUUUGCUAAAUGUAAAUUGUGCGACUUGCUCAUGCUUUACUUUCUACUUUUUCUUAUCUCUCUGUGCUCCUUCAAACCCGAAAAAAUUUUUGCUGUCUGUUAAUGAAUAAUGAA